rnacentral:rRNA from 1 species
CCUACGGGAUGCAGCAGUGGGGAAUAUUGCACAAUGGGCGAAAGCCUGAUGCAGCGACGCCGCGUGAGGGAUGAAGGUCUUCGGAUCGUAAACCUCUGUCAGCAGGGAAGAACGGUCACUGUGCUAAUCAGCAGUGAAUUGACGGUACCUGCAAAGGAAGCACCGGCUAACUCCGUGCCAGCAGCCGCGGUAAUACGGAGGGUGCGAACGGUAAUCGGAAUUACUGGGAGUAAAGCGCUCGUAGGCGGUAUGUCAAGUCAAGGGUGAAAUCCCCGCGCUCAACGUGGGAACUGCCUUUGAAACUGGCAAACUGGAGUGUGUGAGAGGAUAGUGGAAUGCCAGGUGUAGGAGUGAAAUCCGUAGAUAUCUGGAGGAACACCAGUGGCGAAGGCGACUAUCUGGCACAUAACUGACGCUGAGGAGCGAAAGCGUGGGUAGCAAACAGGAUUAGAUACCCCUGUAGUC